UUAUGGAAUAUUGAAAUUAUUGUUAGUUAUUGUUUAGGUAAACAUGAAGAAUAGCAAACAAAAUAGUGUGGUUGAUAGAAUUCAAUUAUUGUGAUUGACCACAGCAUGGACAAAAGAACAUUUUAAACCUUAGCACUCUCUUGGGACCCCUGUUACAGACUUAGUAAGAUAAUGGAGAACGAUGUUACAUUUGUGAACUGUGCAAUGUUUAAAUAUGAACUAUACCAGAGUGCUUCAGGUUUAUUCCACGGUUCAAAGAAUUUAUACAUUUAAGUAUAUCUACGCCAUGCAAAUGACUUAUUUCUUUUUUAGUAAGUAGAAGUGAUUGAACCGCUUGAAGAUCUUGACUCACUUGGUGGCAUGCAGCAUACUGCGUCGUGUGGGCAGCUGAUCUGGGUCACUUUGUCUGCACAGAUACUCUGCUGUGGACCGGGCAGGGAACUCUGUCUCGCACACAUACCCGAAGUCCCGUGCGAGAUGAACCGCCUCACCUGAGAAGAGAGCGUGAAGAUUGAAAAAAUGGAACUUGAAUAUGCUGACUCAAAGCUCGAGUACCUUCUACCAGCGCUGUGAGGAGUGUGACGUUGGCUGCCUUUCGCCGACCGGCAGGCAGGUUGAGGCCGAUCUUCUCCAGACGUUCUCGCAGACAGCGGCCCCCGUUUUUUGACUUUGCUCUGAAGGAGAAAAGAUAGAAAAUAUUAACACCUCCGAUUCCUCCAAGACAUCUGAUGAUGUUCUUCCUCCAUCCCUUCUAUUCACCUGCGCAGGACUCCUCCCAGCAGUGAGGCGUUGAGGCACUCAGGUGGAGCCAGGCGUCUCUGGACUUCUCCAACUGUGACCUUGUACUUAGAGGUGGAGCUGAGGAGCGACAAGCGGCCCGGGACAGAGCAGAAAACCUCUGCAGGGUUGGACACACAUCCCAAACCCAGGCCUUCUUUAGUGAGGGACAAGGCAGAGACCGCUGAGCCAUUUAGCUUUGAUGGGACCGGAACUGUAAGAAGAAACAGAAAGCAGUUUAGGGUUUGUGUGCAAGAAUUACCACAGAGGUCACCCCCUCUUCUUUAUAUGCAUCAGAGGUACAGACUCUCACCUUUCUUGAUAACAGAAUGGUCCAGGAUCCCCAAAGCAGAUGCCUCCUCCAUACCCUGUUAAAACCGAACAGCACUAUUACUUCACUUAAUUUAAACUUGCUUGAUGG